rnacentral:tRNA from 1 species
UGCAUUGGCUGGGAAUCGAACCCGAGGCGCCCGCGUGGCAGGCGAGCAUUCUACCACUGAACCAAAAGC